rnacentral:rRNA from 1 species
AGUGGGGAAUAUUGCACAAUGGAGGAAACUCUGAUGCAGCAACGCCGCGUGGAGGAUGACGCAUUUCGGUGUGUAAACUCCUUUUAUAUAGGAAGAUAAUGACGGUACUAUAUGAAUAAGCACCGGCUAACUCCGUGCCAGCAGCCGCGGUAAUACGGAGGGUGCAAGCGUUACUCGGAAUCACUGGGCGUAAAGCGCAUGCAGGCGGUUUAUUAAGUUGGAAGUGAAAUCCUAUGGCUCAACCAUAGAACUGCUUCCAAAACUGAUAAACUAGAGUCUGGGAGGGGAAGAUGGAAUUAGUAGUGUAGGGGUAAAAUCCGUAGAGAUUACUAGGAAUACCAAAAGCGAAGGCGAUCUUCUGGAACAGUACUGACGCUGAGAUGCGAAAGCGUGGGGAGCAAACAGGAUUAGAUACCCUGGUAGUCCACGCAGUAAACGAUGAAUGUUAGUCGUUGGGACUCUAGUAGUUUCAGUGAUGCAGUUAACACAUUAAACAUUCCGCCUGGGGAGUACGGUCGCAAGAUUAAAACUCAAAGGAAUAGACGGGGACCCGCACAAGUGGUGGAGCAUGUGGUUUAAUUCGAAGAUACGCGAAGAACCUUACCUAGCCUUGACAUACUACAGAAUUUGACAGAGAUGUUGAAGUGCCUUCGGGAGCUGUAAUACAGGUGCUGCACGGCUGUCGUCAGCUCGUGUCGUGAGAUGUUGGGUUAAGUCCCGCAACGAGCGCAACCCUCGUCCUUAGUUACUAACGGUUCGGCCGAGGACUCUAAGGAGACUGCCUUCGUAAGGAGGAGGAAGGUGAGGACGACGUCAAGUCAUCAUGGCCCUUACGGCUAGGGCAACACACGUGCUACAAUGGUUAGGACAAUGAGAAGCGAUACCGCGAGGUGGAGCAAAUCUAUAAACCUAAUCUCAGUUCGGAUAGCAGUCUGCAACUCGACUGCUUGAAGCUGGAAUCACUAGUAAUCGUAAAUCAGCUAUGUUACGGUGAAUCGU